rnacentral:rRNA from 1 species
AGCGUAGGCGGUGCGGUAAGUCGGGUGUGAAACCUCCAGGCUCAACUUGGAGCUGGCAUCCGAAACUGCCGUGCUAGAGUGUGGGAGAGGAGAGUGGAAUUCCCGGUGUAGCGGUGAAAUGCGUAGAUAUCGGGAGGAACAUCGGUGGCGAAGGCGGCUCUCUGGACCAUAACUGACGCUGAGGCUCGAAAGCUAGGGGAGCAAACAGGAUUAGAUACCCUGGUAGUCCUAGCUGUAAACGAUGAACACUUGGUAUAGCGGGUAUCGAAUCCCGCUGUGCCGGAGCUAACGCAUUAAGUGUUCCGCCUGGGGAGUACGGUCGCAAGGCUGAA